rnacentral:lncRNA from 1 species
UAGCCAGGUCCCUCUGCCAAGUACUCAUAUCUCUGCUUGGCUGAACACCAGCCUAGGCUAAGGUACAGUUAGAAAGAAUAGCAGUUUCAUUGGAAGGAACUGACAGAAAACAACCCUUCAUGUGAGCUUCACUGGGAGAAAGACUCUGGAUGACAGGCCUUCAUGAUUGGAAUUUGAAGUGGCAGAACAUUAGGCCUGGAGACCCCGUCUUGCAAUGCUCAUUGAGAAUGUGGUCUAAGCUGGAUGCCCAGAUUUCUAAAAUGCUGAGGUUGCCCUCAAGCAGUUCAUGUCCCACUGGAAUAAACAGAUAGACACUUGUAAGAUAGUGUGGCAGGGGCUGGAGAGGUGGCUCAUUAGAUCCGAGCUGAGACUGUAGUCAAGGACAUAGCAGAAAGAAGAGGGAAGAGAAGCCAGGAGGAAAUCUGGACAGCUCUGACACGGAGGACGGAGUCCUGGUGUCAGCCGCCCCAAGCCGAGAACUCGAGUCUCAUGGUUAGUUGGUAGAGACAGUAAAGAGAAACUAUCAAAGCUGUCCAAGACGUGACUGAGCGACCCAACACGCUUCUCAGAUGGAACUUGGGAAAUGGGACACCUGCAGAGUGGGGAGGGGGACCUUGUGCACAUAGAAAAACACUGGAGAAGCCAGGAAAGUUACACACACAGCUUACCUCUUCAGUGGACUGGAAGGCCAGGAGUGGUGGAAUCAGCCUGUGGUCCUUUGCUGUCUGUUUUAAGGUCUCAGUAAUCUGAAAGCUGCUGGAAACAUCGGGCUCCCAGCAGUGAAGAGAUGCUGGCCUCCUGGGUACAGACCAAGUUUCCAUUUCUGUGAAAACGAUGGUGUGAUCCCUGGAGCUGUAGCAGCUUGCUUGAGGCAGCCCUCCCAUUAACCAGAAAGUACCAGGAGACUGCGGUGAUAAGGAGACCCACCACCAACUGCUUCCUUCUAGCCUUGAGAGAUGAAAAGGCUUCCUGAAGCAUCUGAUGCCCACGAGCCGAGCCGAGCCGCGGGACCCAGUUGCUGUGGGAGAAGAAAGGGUGAUGUGGGCAUGGCUCUAGUGUUUUCCUGAAGACAGCACUAAAACAAACCGAACAAAACAAACAAACUAAACUAAAAACCUAUAGCAAUCUUAAAAGCCAAGACAGAGCUAAAUGACAAGGCAGUGUUUGGUUUCAGGCCCCGGUACAAGGGACUGAGGUGCACAGUUAACACAGCAAAGCAGAUCAGGCCUCUAGGCCCACCUAGCAUCCCUCAGUCCCCGUGUGCCUUACCUGGACCCCAACCCUAAACUUUCCAGCCCAGGGGCUGGGAUGCCCUUCCCCCAGGGGCUCCUCCCUAUAUAAUCCCCUCCUAGAGGCUCUUCCCCCUAAUCCAGACA